GAUGAAGAACGUAGCGAAAUGCGAUAAGUAAUGUGAAUUGCAGAAUUCAGUGAAUCAUCGAAUCUUUGAACGCACAUUGCGCCCCUUGGUAUUCCGAGGGGCAUGCCUGUUCGAGCGUCAUUAUAACCCCUCAAGCUCAGCUUGGUGUUGGGGCCUGCCGCACGGGCAGCCCUUAAAAUCAGUGGCGGUGCUAUCUGGCUCUAAGCAUAGUAAUUCUUCUCGCUAUAGAGUCCCGGUGGAUGCUUGCCAUUAACCCCCAAUUUUCUAUGGUUGACCUCGGAUCAGGUAGGGAUACCCGCUGAACUUAAGCAUAUCAAUAAGCGGAGGA
rnacentral:misc_RNA from 1 species